CCUACGGGGUGCUGCAGUGGGGAAUAUUGGGCAAUGGGCGCAAGCCUGACCCAGCAACGCCGCGUGAAGGAAGAAGGCUUUCGGGUUGUAAACUUCUUUUGUCAGGGAAGAGUAGAAGACGGUACCUGACGAAUACUCCACGGCUAACUACGUGCCAGCAGCCGCGGUAAUACGUAGGUGGCAAGCGUUGUCCGGAUUUACUGGGUGUAAAGGGCGUGUAGCCGGGUUGACAAGUCAGAUGUGAAAUCCUGCGGCUUAACCGUAGAACUGCAUUUGAAAUUGUUGAUCUUGAGUACUGGAGAGGCAGACGGAAUUCCUAGUGUAGCGGUGAAAUGCGUAGAUAUUAGGAGGAACACCAGUGGCGAAGGCGGUCUGCUGGACAGCAACUGACGGUGAGGCGCGAAAGCGUGGGGAGCAAACAGGAUUAGAUACCCGGGUAGUC
rnacentral:rRNA from 1 species